rnacentral:rRNA from 1 species
AGUGAAUAGAUACCCGGGUAGUCCACGCCGUAAACGAUGCGCACAAGGUUCACGAGACUCUGACGUCGAGUGAGCCGAAAAACAAAAGUGUUAAGUGCGCCGCCUGGGGAGUACGGCCGCAAGGCUAAAACUCAAAGGAAUUGACGGGGGCUCACACAAGCGGUGGAGCAUGUGGCUUAAUUCGAAGCAACGCGAAGAACCUGACCUGGGUUUGACAUGCAAGGAUUAGUUCUGUGAAAGCAGAAUGACGCGGCUUGCCGUGGAACUUGCACAGGUGCUGCAUGGCUGUCGUCAGCUCGUGUCGUGAGAUGUCGGGUUAAGUCCCCUAACGAGCGAAACCCUUGUCGCUAGUUGCUAACGGGUAAAGCUGAGCACUUUAGCGAGACUGCCGGUGUUAAACCGGAGGAAGGUGGGGAUGACGUCAAGUCCUCAUGGCCUUUAUGCCCAGGGCUGCACACGUGCUACAAUGGGAAGGUACAGAGCGAUGCGAAGCCGCGAGGCGGAGCAAAUCGCAG